rnacentral:rRNA from 1 species
AUUGAACGCUGGCGGCAGGCCUAACACAUGCAAGUCUAACGAGUGGCGGACGGGUGAGUAAUGUCUGGUAAACUGGCUGAUGGAUGGGUAUAACUACUGACACCGGUAGCUAAUAACGCAUAUCAUCAGAUGUGCCCAGAUGGGAUUAGCUAGUUGGUGGGGUAACGGCUCACCAAGGCGACGAUCCCUAGCUGGUCUGAGUGGAUGAACAGCCACACUGGAACUGAGACACGGUCCAGACGCGUACGGGAGGCAGCAGUGGGGAAUAUUGCACAAUGGGCGCAAGCCUGAUGCAGCCAGGCCGCGUGUAUGAAGAAGGCCUUCGGGUUGUAAAGUACUGUCAGCGGGGAGGCGUUACCCGCAGAAGAAGCACCGGCUAACUCCGUGCCAGCAGCCGCGGUAAUAC